CKGCAGCCRUAACUACAACCGGACCCCCUACCGGUGCACCAACACCCUCGGUGACCAUAGCAACGACMAGCACCAGAUCCAUCAGUACCUCUGCAAACCAAACAACACCUGAUCUCGGACCAUAUUAUGUUAUCGCCCUGAACGCAAAGAUCUCGGCCGCCGUGUCUCUGAUAAAUGAUCAGGAGGCCCUGGCACAGCUGAUUAAGGAAGAACUGAUCAGCUAUGGGCUGCCACCAACCAUCAGCGUUAGGAUCUUAACCAGAGGUUCAUUGGAAGUAACAGCUGCCACAUAGUGGCGACUUCUUGCAGGAAAAUGGUUUUAGUGACACGUUGAUUCAGGAUUUUAUUUUUUCACACKCUUUGUAAUCAACCACAUUUAUGAAGCUUUCUGCACAGGAUGUUAAAYAUCAAAAUAUUYUAUUCUCUCAUCUUAUUUUCUGUUAUUUGAAAUAACAUUAAACAAAGUAAUGAAGUAUCAACUUUCAGAGUAGGAAAUAUUGGUCCAGUGAUCUAAAAACWUGAGGUUCUCACUGUUUUCAGUGAUGUGUAAGAUUUUGAUCCGAUUGUUUUGUAGAGCAUUUCCUCGUACCAGGUGAACUCCACAGCUUCUCUGAUGCAGCUGAAGCUACUUCUUAGAAAGAAGGAACUUCUUUUUACAUUUGAAAACUUAAACACUUUCUUAGAAAGUAUAAAACUUACUGAUGCUGAUCUACCAACCYUGAAUAGGAGAUUCUAGUUUAUUUACUUUGGAUCAACAUUAUUAGCUUUUUCUUCUUUUGCUCUUUUUUUGUUGGUUUGUUACUUUGU